AAAGCAUAUAAGUAAGCGGAGGACAAGAAACUAAAUAGGAUUCCCCCAGUAAUGGCGAAUGAACAGGGAAUAGCUCAGCAUGGAAAUUGGGGUCUCCCGACCUUGAAUUGUAGUCUUGAGAGGUACUGCCAACGGAGGCGCAGAUGUAAGCCUCUUGGAAAAGAGCAUCAACGAGGGUGAGAGUCCCGUUUGUCAUCUGCAGUCCCCCGUGCACGGUGUAUCUUCUAAGAGUCACGUUCCUCGGGAUUGGAGCGCAAAGUGGGUGGUAAAUUUCAUCUAAAGCUAAAUAUUGGUUCGAGACCGAUAGCAAACAAGUACCAUGAGGGAAAGGUGAAAAGGACUUUGAAAAGAGAGUUAAAAGUGCCUGAAAUUGCUGAAAGGGAAGCGAAUGGAACCAGCGUUCUUGAUGAGAUUGCUGCGUACUCUGGUGAUUGCUGGGUGUUCCACCGCAAGGGGGGCAUCUGGUUUUGAGCUAGAUGUGCGUGGUGUUUCUUGUCUUGUGUGUCACCGUCGGUGCUCAAGCGAGUAAAACUCUAGGGAACUGGUAGCCUGCCUCCGGGUGUGUGAAUGUCCUUGGUAGUACUCAUUUGCGUAUCGAUCCCUGCGUGUCUGGUUGCAGUGUUUGAGUCGCUUUGAAGUUUUUCUGAAGGGACUUGUCCUUGAUGAAAUCCAUCUUAGCGCCUUGAGCAUCUCCCUGACACAAAGACGAUGACUAAAUGGUUCUAUUCGACCCGUCUUGAAAGGGG
rnacentral:rRNA from 1 species